rnacentral:misc_RNA from 1 species
AACUUUUGGCAACGGAUCUCUUGGCUCUCGCAUCGAUGAAGAACGCAUCGAAAUGCGUUAAGUAAUGUGAAUUGCAGAAUUCAGUGAAUCAUCGAAUCUUUGAACGCACCUUGCGCUCCUUGGUAUUCCGAGGAGCAUGCCUGUUUGAGUGUCAUUAAAUUCUCAACCUUUCCAUUAAUUUGGUUUGGCUUGGAUGUGGGGGUUGCAGGCUUCAUUUGACUAUGAGGUCAGCUCUCCUUAAAUGCAUUAGUGGAACUUUUGUUGACCAUCUAUUGGUGUGAUAUCUAUCUACACUGUGGAUGUGAAGCAGUGUUCAGCUUCUAACCGUCUAUUAUUGACUUUACUUGACCAUUUGACCUCAAAUCAGGUAGGACUACCCGCUGAACUUAAGCAUAUCAAUAAGCGGAGGCU